CUUAUGGGGGAGGCGAACCCGGGGAACUGAAACAUCUCAGUACCCGGCGGAAAAGAAAGCAACCGCGAUUCCCUGAGUAGCGGCGAGCGAAAGGGGAACAGCCUAAACCGUCUCUGUGCCAAAGCCCGUGGGCGUUGCAGAGGCGGGGUAGUGGGACACAGUCGGGCUCCGCCACGGAGGAGCCGGGAAGUUACAAAACUCCCACCUAGUCGAACUACCUGGAAAGGUAGGCCAUAGAGGGUGAAAGCCCCGUAGGCGAAAGGUGUGGAGUCUUCCUGGACUGUGUUCCCGAGUACCCCGGGACACGUGGAAUCCUGGGGGAAUCUGGGUGGACCACCACCUAAGGCUAAAUACUCCCUGGUGACCGAUAGCGGACUAAGUACCGUGAGGGAAAGGUGAAAAGAACCCCAGUGCGGGGAGUGAAAUAGAACCUGAAACCAGGUGCCUACAAUCAGUCGGAGGGUCCAUUUAACCUCCCUCUGAGGAGGUUAAAUGGCCUGACGGCGUGCCUUUUGCGUAAUGAGCCUGGGAGUUACCGUCGCCGGCGAGGCUAAGGCCUUCUGGGCCGGAGCCGUAGCGAAAGCGAGUCCGAAUAGGGCGUUUAGUCGGCGGCGGUAGACCCGAAGCCGGGUGAUCUACCCAUGGCCAGGGUGAAGUCACCUUAACCGGUGAUGGAGGCCCGAACCGGUGGACGUUGAAAAGUCCUCGGAUGAGCUGUGGGUAGGAGUGAAAAGCUAAUCGAACCCGGAGAUAGCUGGUUCUCCCCGAAAUAGCUCUAGGGCUAGCCUCGGGAAUGAGUGUUGCGGAGGUAGAGCACUGGAUGGGGUAGGGGGCAACCCCGAACCCAACCAAACUCCGAAUGCCGCAACAUGCUUCCCGGGAGUCAGGCAGUGGGGGAUAAGCUCCAUUGCCGAGAGGGGAACAACCCAGACCGCCAGCUAAGGUCCCGAAGUGAAAGCUUAGUGGUAAAGGAUGUGGGGGCGCUUAGACAGCUGGGAUGUUGGCUUAGAAGCAGCCAUCAUUUAAAGAGUGCGUAACAGCUCACCAGUCGAGCGCCCCUGCGCCGAAAAUUUAGCGGGGCUAAGCUUUCCACCGAAGCUGCGGGUUGCCACCUUUGGUGGCAGCGGUAGGGGAGCGUUCCCUGCGGGCUGAAGUUGCCCUGCGAGGGGUGAUGGACUGCAGGGAAGUGAGAAUCCAGGCAUUAGUAGCGAUAACCCCCGUGAGAAUCGGGGGCGCCGAAAGUCUAAGGUUUCCACCGGAAGGCUCGUCCGCGGUGGGUUAGCCGGCCCCUAACCUGAGGCCGAAAGGCGUAGGGGAUGGGAAUCCCGUUAAUAUUCGGGAGCCAGCUUGGUGGAGCCUGGGGGGUGACGCAGUAGGGAAAGGCCAGCGCCCUGGUGGCUUAGGGCGUCUAAGCCAGUAGGAGGCCUCUCCAGGCAAAUCCGGAGAGGCGGGUUAAAGACCCAACUCUGAGAGGCGAUGGGGAUCCCCCGAAAGGGGGAGAACUGGCCUGGACCAUGCUGCCAAGAAAUAGCCUCGCAGGCGUUGAAACCAGGCUGACCGUACCGCAAACCGACACAGGUAGACGGGCAGAGAAUGCUCAGGCGCGCGAGAGAAUUCCCCCUAAGGAACUCGGCAACUUGGCCCCGUAACUUCGGGAGAAGGGGUGCCCCAAGUACGUGAAGGCCCUUGCGGCUGGAGCGGAACGGGGUCGCAGCGAAGAGGGCCUGGCGACUGUUUACCAAAAACACAGGAGUCCGCGAACUCGUCAAGAGGACGUAUGGGCUCUGACGCCUGCCCGGUGCCGGAAGGUUAAGGGGAGGGGUGCAAGCCCCGAACCGAAGCCCCGGUAAACGGCGGCCGUAACUAUAACGGUCCUAAGGUAGCGAAAUUCCUUGUCGGGUAAGUUCCGACCUGCACGAAUGGCGUAACGACUGGGCCGGUGUCUCGGGGGGAAGCUCGGUGAAGUUGUAGUGGUGGUGAAGAUGCCACCUACCCGUGGCAGGACCGAAAGACCCCGUGGAGCUUUACUGCAGCCUGGCGUUGGGUUCUGACACUUCAUGUGUAGGAUAGGUGGGAGCCUGUGAAGCCUCCUCGCCAGGGGAGGUGGAGGCGCCGGUGAAAUACCACCCUUGAAGUGUUGGGAUCCUAACCCGCCACUCUGGAUCGAGUGGGGGGACAGCGCUUGGUGGGCAGUUUCACUGGGGCGGUGACCUCCUGAAGGGUAACGGAGGUGCCCAAAGGUCCCCUCAGCACGGACGGUACCGUGCGUGGAGUGCAAGGGCAUAAGGGGGCUUGACUGUGAGGCCGACAGGCCGAGCAGGUGCGAAAGCAGGGCCUAGUGAUCCGGUGGUCCCGUGUGGAAGGGCCAUCGCUCAGCGGAUAAAAGUUACCCCGGGGAUAACAGGCUAGUCGGGCCCGAGAGUUCACAUCGACGGCCCGGUUCGGCACCUCGAUGUCGGCUCACCCCAUCCUGGGGCUGGACAAGGUCCCAAGGGUUGGUCUGUUCGCCCAUUAAAGGGGUACGUGAGCUGGGUUCAGACCGUCGUGAGACAGGUCGGUCCCUAUCCGCCACGGGCGUAGGGUACUUGAGGGGGGCUGCCCCCAGUACGAGAGGACCGGGGUGGGGAGACCUCUGGUGUACCAGUUGUCCCGCCAGGGGCAGCGCUGGGUAGCCAUGUCUCCAGGCGAUAACCGCUGAAAGCAUCUAAGCGGGAAGCGCGCCCCAAGAUUAGGUACCCCGUCAACCGAUAACCUGGCGCAAGCUGGGUUAUUCGGUUGGCUAAGGCCCCCGGAAGACUACCGGGUUGAUAGGCCGCAGGUGUAAGUCCCGUAAGGGAUUGAGCCGAGCGGUACUAAUAGGCCGAGAGUCUUAGCCA
rnacentral:rRNA from 1 species